GUUUGCAGGUCAAACAAAAGUCCCUGGGUAUGUCUCACCUGUCUCAAUGUGCAUUGUGGGAGGUAUGUGAAUGCUCAUGCUAAGCAGCACUAUGAGGACAGCCAGAGUCAGGUGACGGGAGGUGCUGGUCAGAAGAGAUGUGAGGAGCAGGAGAAGAAGAACGCUCAGCACCUGGUCUGCAUGGACUGCAGCAGCUACAGUCUCUUCUGUUACAGGUGUGAUGACUUUGUAGUGAAC